CUCUUGGGUUGUAAACUCCUUUUCUCAGGGAAGAAAAAAAUGACGGUACCUGAGGAAUCAGCAUCGGCUAACUCCGUGCCAGCAGCCGCGGUAAUACGGAGGAUGCAAGCGUUAUCCGGAAUCAUUGGGCGUAAAGCGUCCGCAGGUGGCGCUUCAAGUCUGCUGUCAAAGGUCGGGGCUUAACUCCGAACAGGCAGUGGAAACUGAAGCGCUCGAGUGCGGUAGGGGCAGAGAGAAUUCCUGGUGUAGCGGUGAAAUGCGUAGAGAUCAGGAAGAACACCGGUGGCGAAAGCGCUCUGCUAGGCCGCAACUGACACUCAGGGACGAAAGCUAGGGGAGCGAAUGGGAUUAGAUAAUCCAGUAGUCCUAGCUGUAAACGAUGGAUACUAGGCGUUGCUUGUAUCGACCCAAGCAG
rnacentral:rRNA from 1 species